rnacentral:lncRNA from 10 species
UGACCUCACAAUGACUCAAGCUACCACUUAUUGUUGAUUGUGAUGAAAUGCUAGCUGAAGCAUAUGCCCUGCAAGCUUAGGGGUGCUACACUUGACCACGGCGGCAGUAAAGAUGACUCUGAAGAAUGGCAUGGGAUGGAUCCUUUUGAAUGCACUCAAGCAGGGGUCUCCAACCACAGGUCCAUAGAGCCGGAGGUGAAUCUACCAUGAAAGACUUCAGAAUCCAGGAAGAGAGACUGACUGGG